GAUGAAGAACGCAGCGAAAUGCGAUACGUAAUGUGAAUUGCAGAAUUCAGUGAAUCAUCGAAUCUUUGAACGCAUAUUGCGCUCUCUGGUAUUCCGGAGAGCAUGCUUGUUUGAGUAUCAGUAAACACCUCAACUUCCAUAUCUUUUUUGAAAUGGGAGUUGGACUUGAGUGAUCCCAACGCUUUUCCUCACCGAAAAGUGGCGGGUUACUUGAAAUGCAGGUGCAGCUGGACUUUUCUCUGAGCUAUAAGCAUAUCUAUUUAGUCUGCCUAAAAACAGAUUAUUACCUUUGCUGCAGCUAACAUAAAGGAGAUUAGUUCUUGUGCUGACUGAUGCAGGAUUCACAAAGACAGGCUUCGGCCGACUUUGUAAACUCGAUCUCAAAUCAAGUAAGACUACCCGCUGAACUUAAGCAUACAAUAAGCGGAGGA
rnacentral:misc_RNA from 1 species